GGUAUGGUGUAGUGGUUAAAAGUCUGGCUUCCGAAGUCAGUCUGACCUUGGUUCAAGUCCGAGCUUUGCCA
rnacentral:tRNA from 1 species